rnacentral:rRNA from 1 species
GACGAACGCUGGCGGCGUGCUUAACACAUGCAAGUCGAACGGGCCCGCUCUCUUUUUUGGGGGUGGGUUGAGUGGCGAACGGGUGAGUAUCACGUGAGUAACCUGCCCCCUGCUCCUGGAUAACUGCUUGAAAGGGCGGCUAAUACGGGGUGUGCCGGCUGGUCCGCAUGGGCCUGGUCGGGAUAGUUUCAUCUUCGGGUGUUUCGGUGGGGGAUGGGCUCGCGGCCUAUCAGCUUGUUGGUGGGGUGAUGGCCCACCAAGGCGGUGACGGGUAGCCGGCCUGAGAGGGUGGGCGGCCACACUGGGACUGAGACACGGCCCAGACUCCGGCGGGAGGCAGCAGUGGGGGGUAUUGCACAAUGGGCGGAAGCCUGAUGCAGCGACAUCGCGUGAGGGAUGGAGGCCUUCGGGUUGUGAACCUCUUUCUCCGGUGGUGAAGGCCCUGUCCGGUGCGGCGGGGUUGACGGUAGCCGGGUAUGAAGCGCCGGCUAACUACGUG